UNGCAAACUUUUUAAAGCUGAGGUAGCUGC
rnacentral:piRNA from 1 species